rnacentral:misc_RNA from 1 species
GAUGAAGAACGCAGCGAAAUGCGAUAAGUAAUGUGAAUUGCAGAAUUCAGUGAAUCAUCGAAUCUUUGAACGCACAUUGCGCCCGCCAGCACUCUGGCGGGCAUGCCUGUUCGAGCGUCAUUUCAACCAUCAAGCCCUGCUUGUGUUGGGGUCCUGCGGCUGCCCGCAGGCCCUGAAAACCAGUGGCGGGCUCGCUAGUCACACCGAGCGCAGUAGCACAUCUCGCUCAGGGCGUGCGGCGGGCUCCAGCCGUUAAAGCACCCACCUUUCGCAAGGUUGACCUCGGAUCAGGUAGGAAUACCCGCUGAACUUAAGCAUAUCAAUAAGCGGAGGA